CCUACGGGAGGCAGCAGUGAGGAAUAUUGGUCAAUGGGCGAGAGCCUGAACCAGCCAAGUAGCGUGAAGGAUGACGGACCUAUGGUUUGUAAACUUCUUUUAUAUGGGAAUAAAGUGAGGUACGUGUUCGUCUUUGUAUGUACCGUAUGAAUAAGCAUCGGCUAACUCCGUGCCAGCAGCCGCGGUAAUACGGAAGAUGCGAGCGUUAUCCGGAUUUAUUGGGUUUAAAGGGUGCGUAGGUGGUGAAUCAAGCCUGCGGUGAAAGUUUGUGGCUCAACCAUAAAAUUGCCGUUGAAACUGGUUGACUUGAGUACAUUGAAGGUAGGCGGAAUGCGUGGUGUAGCGGUGAAAUGCAUAGAUAUCACGCAGAACUCCGAUUGCGAAGGCAGCUUACUAAACUAGAACUGACACUGAUGCUCGAAAGCGUGGGGAUCGAACAGGAUUAGAUACCCCAGUAGUC
rnacentral:rRNA from 1 species